CAAACGCUGGCGGCGUGCUACCACAUGCUGUAUCGAGCGAGACAGCUUCUUCGGAAGUGAGUACAGCGGCGAACGGGUGAGUUACGCGUGAGAGUCUACCUUUUAGUGAAGGAUACCCUUGAGAAAUCGAGGCUAAUACUGCAUAAGUCCCUUCGGGGCAGAAAGAUGGCCUCUUUGCUGUCGCUAAAAGAUGAGCUUGCGUGCUAUUAGCUAGUUGGUAGGGUAAAGGCCUACCAAGGCGAUGAUGGCUAGCCGGCCUGAGAGGGUUGUCGGCCACACUUGGAAACUUUAGACCACCGGUCCCAGAACUCCCUAACGGGGAGGCCACAAGGUGAGGAAAUCUUGCGGCCAUGGGCGAAAGCCCGACGCAGCGA
rnacentral:rRNA from 1 species